UCCGGUUUGUCACCGGCAGUCUCCCUAGACAUGGUAACUAAGGACAAGGGUUGCGCUCGUUGCAGGACUUAACCCAACACCUCACGGCGCGAGCUGACGACAGCCAUGCAGCAUCUGUGCACCCUCCCUUGCGGGUCCCUCGGGUUACCCUUUGGUACCAGGUGCAUGUCAAGUCGAGGUAAGGUUCUGCGCGUUGCAUCGAAUUAAACCACACGCUCCGCUGCUUGUGCGGGCCCCCGUCAAUUCCUUUGAGUUUUAGCCUUGCGGCCGUACUCCCCAGGCGGGACACUUAACGCGUUAACUGCGGCACAGAGGGAUUCGACUCCCCCCACACCUAGUGUCCAUCGUUUACGGCUAGGACUAC
rnacentral:misc_RNA from 1 species